rnacentral:rRNA from 1 species
GUGGGGAAUCUUAGACAAUGGGCGCAAGCCUGAUCCAGCAAUGCCGCGUGCAGGAAGAAGGCCUUCGGGUUGUAAACUGCUUUUGUACGGAACGAAACGGUCCUGGCUAAUAUCCGGGGCUAAUGACGGUACCGUAAGAAUAAGCACCGGCUAACUACGUGCCAGCAGCCGCGGUAAUACGUAGGGUGCGAGCGUUAAUCGGAAUUACUGGGCGUAAAGCGUGCGCAGGCGGUGCUGUAAGACAGGCGUGAAAUCCCCGGGCUCAACCUGGGAAUUGCGCUUGUGACUGCAGUGCUGGAGUGCGGCAGAGGGGGAUGGAAUUCCGCGUGUAGCAGUGAAAUGCGUAGAUAUGCGGAGGAACACCGAUGGCGAAGGCAAUCCCCUGGGCCUACACUGACGCUCAUGCACGAAAGCGUGGGGAGCAAACAGGAUUAGAAACCCGUGUAGUCC